UACGGAGGUGGCAAGCGUUGUUCGGAAUUACUGGGCGUAAAGGGCGCGUAGGCGGCAAGGCAAGUCAGGUGUGAAAGCCCCGAGCUUAACUCGGGAAUUGCAUCUGAAACUGCUGUGCUUGAGUUCUGGAGGGGGUAGUGGAAUUCCCAGUGUAGCGGUGAAAUGCGUAGAUAUUGGGAGGAACACCUGCGGCGAAGGCGGCUACCUGGACAGAAACUGACGCUGAGGCGCGAAAAGCUAGGGGGAGCGAACGGG
rnacentral:rRNA from 1 species